CGUAGGGUGCGAGCGUUAAUCGGAAUUACUGGGCGUAAAGCGUGCGCAGGCGGUUUUGUAAGACAGAUGUGAAAUCCCCGGGCUCAACCUGGGACCUGCAUUUGUGACUGCAAGGCUAGAGUACGGUAGAGGGGGAUGGAAUUCCGCGUGUAGCAGUGAAAUGCGUAGAUAUGCGGAGGAACACCGAUAAAGGCGAAGGCAAUCCCCUGGACCUGUACUGACGCUCAUGCACGAAAGCGUGGGGAGCAAACAGGAUUAGAUACCCUGGUAGUCCACGCCCUAAACGAUGUCAACUGGUUGUUGGGUCUUUACUGACUCAGUAACGAAGCUAACGCGUGAAGUUGACCGCCUGGGGAGUACGGCCGCAAGGUUG
rnacentral:rRNA from 1 species